GCUCUUCCCUCAGCAGCAUGUGUAGUAAAAUUAGAGAGGCACAGAGAUUAGCAUGGCUCCUGAGCAAGGAGGACACGAAAGUCUGUGAUGUGUUCCAUAGGUGG
rnacentral:snRNA from 1 species